rnacentral:rRNA from 1 species
CAGCAGCCGCGGGAAUACGAGGGGGGCAAGCGUUGUUCGGAUUUAUUGGGCGUAAAGGGUGCGUAGGCGGUUUGGCAAGUCUUGUGUGAAAUCUUCGGGCUCAACCCGAAGCCUGCACGUGAAACUACCGGGCUUGAGUAUUGGAGAGGUGAGUGGAAUUUCCGGUGUAGCGGUGAAAUGCGUAGAUAUCGGAAGGAACACCUGUGGCGAAAGCGGCUCACUGGACCAUUACUGACGCUGAGGCGCGAAAGCUAGGGGAGCAAACAGGAUUAGAUACCCGCGUAGUCCCUGUCUCUUAUAC